AUUUAAGUAGCUUAAGUAGUAAAGCAUGACAUUGAAGAUGUCAAGAUGUUAUAUUAUAAUCUUAAAUA
rnacentral:tRNA from 1 species